AAUUCGAAGCAACGCGAGAACCUUACCAGGGCUUGACAUCCCUUGAAGCAGCUAGAGAUAGCUGUGUCCUUCGGGACAAGGGGACAGGUGGUGCAUGGUUGUCGUCAGCUCGUGUCGUGAGAUGUUGGGUUAAGUCCCGCAACGAGCGCAACCCCUGUGGUUAGUUGCCAGCAAGUAGCGUUGGGCACUCUAGCCAGACUGCCGGUGAUAAAUCGGAGGAAGGUGGGGACGACGUCAAAUCAUCAUGCCCUUUAUGUCCUGGGCUACACACGUACUACAAUGGCCGUUACAACGGGAAGCGAAGGAGCAAUCCGGAGCAAAUCCCUUAAAGGCGGUCCCAGUUCAGAUUGUGGGCUGAAACUCGCCCACAUGAAGGCGGAAUUGCUAGUAAUCGCAGGUCAGCAUACUGCGGUGAAUACGUUCUCGGGCCUU
rnacentral:rRNA from 1 species